GACCCCAUUUGACCUUUAAUCCUCGGUCCGAACCAACUAAUGCCGGACAAUUUAAAAUCCACAGGUUUUAACUUUACUUUCGUUUUCCCGUAUUUUCGGAAAACCCGGUUAUAAAUAACUGACAUAUUUACUUUACUUUCGUUUUCUUGUAUUUUCGGAAAACCUGGUUAUAAAUAACUGACAUAUUUCCUUCACUUUCGUUUUAUCGUAUUAUCUGAAAAUGUUAUAUGGGAUUUACAUGAUAUUUUCUGAAAAAUGGUCGUAUUUUGCAACACAAACCUUAUCGAUUAACACCAGAACAUUCUUUGUUGACUUAUAAUACAUACAACGAUAGAACAGAAACAAGGAAAACGAUUACAAUGGAUAAAAAUACAACAGCAGACCUGUUAAAAGAUUUGACGGAAUUAACAACCCAUUUAAAAGAUAAUUACAAAGAAGAUUUUGUAUGCCAAGAAUGGGUUACAACAUUCAGUUCAAAGUAUUACAAGAAAUUGGUUGAUACAUGUAAGCCAACAAAGCGACAAACAAGGAGUACGUUAAAAGAAAAGCUUAAAGAAGAAAUUACGAAAUCAUUCGGACAAGAGGAGGUUUUAGAAAAUUUCAAGCGAAGACAAAUGUAUUGAAAGCAUUAGAAAUUUAGACAAGCAGAUAUACAGAAACAAACGGAAUAUUGUUUAUUGUACACAUCAGAUUGGAUUUAUUAUUAAAAAUUUAAGAUCAGUUUGCCCAAAGGAUUGUAAUCUGGGACUUUAUUUUCAUCGCAGAGGUGUACAUUACACAGAUUCCUACUGUCGAAACCUUGCUUUAGUUUAUGAAUUAAUUGAGAAACUUAAGAAUUUAUUGAAGUGUGCUUUAAACACUGGAACUUUAAUCAAAAAUAGGAAAUUAAUCGAAGAAAUAUGUACAUAGUUGAAUUGGUAACAAAAUCAGCUUUUAACAGUAGAAAUCUAUGUAAGGAUUCCAAGUAUAAUGUUCACAUUUAUUGAUAGUAACGUUUACACUGUAAACGCACGUCACUUCCGUUCAAGUAUUUUUAACAUUAGUGGAAUUUCCAUGUACAAUCUUCACAUUUAUUUAUAGUAACGUUUACACUGUAAACGCACUUCACUUCCGUAUACCAUGUUCAAUUUUAUUUUUAACAUUAGUGGAAUUUCUAUAUAUCUAUACAUUUAUUUAUAGUAACGUUUACACUGUAAACGCACGUCACUUCCGUAUACCAUGUUAAAUUUUAUUUUUAAUAUUAGUGGAAUUUCUAUAUAUCUAUACAUUUAUUUAUAGUAACGUUUACACUGUAAACGCACGUCACUUCCGUUCAAGUUUAUUUUAUAUAUCUAUACUUCUAUUUAUAGUAACGUUUACAGUGUAAACGCACGUCACUUCCGUAUACGCUUUUGGGAGUAGUUUGGAAUAUAACGCUUAUGAUACAUUUUUGUUAGUAGUAAAGAAUAUAACGUUCUUGGUACAUUUUAAUACAUUUUAACUCAUUUUAUUAAAAUAAUUUAUAAUUGUUUGUUCAUUUACUCUUUGAUUGUUAACUUUUAGUAUUUUAUACAAUAAAUCAUACAACGGUAUUUUAUCUUGUAACAUUUUUAUGAAAAAUAAACAAUAAUAACCACA